CCCUCACAGCUCCGUAGGCAAGCACCAUGGUCUUGUAGCGGAUGCGAGCUUCAACUGGAAGCCAGUGGAGAGAGCGGAGGAGCGGGGUGACGUUUUAUUUUACCUUUAUUUAACUAGGCAAGUCAGUUAAGAACAAAUUCUUAUUUUCAAUGACGGCCUAGGAACAGCCUGUUCAGGGGCAGAACGACAGAUUUGUACCUUGACAGCUCGGGGAUUUGAACUUGCAACCUUUCGGUUAUUAGUCCAACGCUCUAACCACGAGGCUACCCGGCUACCCUACCCUGCCCUUAUUCCGUUGUGUAAUGAAGAAGUACGGCCAUCUUGAACGAGGAUCACUUGAAGUGUACUGUUUGUUAGAGGCGCGUGACCAGAAAGCUACAGUUUGUUUUCCUCCUGUAUUGAACACAGAUCAUCCCGUCUUCAAUUUUAGUGAUUAUUUAUGUUAAAAAAUACCUAAAGUUGUAUUACAAAAGUAGUUUGAAAUGUAACUUGAGAGAUAUUUUGUAGUCACGUUGCGCAAGUUGGAACCGGUGUUUUUCUGGAUCAAAUGCGAAAUUUUGGAUAUAUAUCGGCGGAAUUAAUCGAACAAAAAAAACAUUUGUGAUGUUUAUGGGACAUAUUGGAGUGCCAACAGAAGAAGCUCAUCAAAGGUAAAGGAUGAAUUGUAUUCAUGUUUUGCGUUUUGUGUCGCGCCUGCAGGGUUGAAAUGUCUUCUCUCUUUGAUUACGGAGGUGCUGUCCUCAGAUAAUAGCAUCAUUUGCUUUCGCCGAAAAGCCUUUUUGUAAUCUGACAUGUUGGCUGGAUUCACAACACGUGUAGCUUUAAUUUGCUAUCUUGCAUGUGUGAUUUAAUGAAAGUUAGAUUUUUAUAGUAAUUAAUUUGAAUUUGGCGCUCUGCAUUCUCCCUGGCUUUUGGCCCAGAGAGGUUAACAAUGUCUACACUGUAUUUCUGAUCAAAUUGAUGUUAUUUUAAAACGGACAAAAAAAAAAUGCAAAAACAAGGACAUUUCUAAGUGGCCCCAAACUUUUGAACAGUAGUGUUUAUAUAUAUACACACAAUUAAAAAAAAAAAAAAAAAUAUAUAUAUAUAUAUAUAUAUAUAUAUAUAUAUACACACACAAAAAAAUAUAUAUAUAUGAGGGAUUGGAAGUGAUGCAGACAAUUUCAUUGAUGGAAGCUACAAUCUAUCUGCAAUAUUAAAGCUACCACCUAAAAUAUGUUUAAAUAAUAUACUCCAAGCAAGCUGUCAUGUGCCUUUUACUGAGGAGUGGUCAUCUCCCUGACCAAGACCGAGGCCCUUUUCCUCUGAUUGCUCAGUUUGGCCGGGCGGCAAGCUCUAAGAUUGAUGAAAGCCAAUGUGUUCUUGGGGACCUUCAAUGCAGCAGAAAUUUGUUGGUACCCUUCCCCAGAUCUGUGCCUCGACAGAAUCCUGUCUCGGAGCUCUACGGAAAAUUCCUUCGACCUCAUGGCUUGGUUUUUGCUCUGACAUGCACUGUCAAUUGUGGGACCUUAUAUAGACAGGUGUGUGCCUUUCCAAAUCAUGUCUAAUCAAUUGAAUUUACCAUAGGAGGACUCCAAUCAAGUUGUAGGAACAUCAAGGACGAUCAAUGGAAACAGGAUGCACCUGAGAUCAAUUUCGGUUCUCAUAGCAAAGGAUCUGAACACUUAUGUAAAUAAGGACCUGGGACCAUGCCUCAGGACUACCUGACAUGAUGACUCCUUGCUGUCCCCAGUCCACCUGGCCGUGCUGCUGCUCCAGUUUCAACUGUUCUGCCUUAUUAUUAUUGGACCAUGCUGGUCAUUUAUGAACAUUUGAACAUCUUGGCCAUGUUCUGUUAUAAUCUCCACCCGGCACAGCCAGAAGAGGACUGGCCACCCCACAUAGCCUGGUUCCUCUCUAGGUUUCUUCCUAGGUUUUGGCCUUUCUAGGGAGUUUUUCCUAGCCACCGUGCUUCUACACCUGCAUUGCUUGCUGUUUGGGAGUUUUAGGCUGGGUUUCUGUACAGCACUUUGAGAUAUCAGCUGAUGUACGAAGGGCUAUAUAAAUACAUUUGAUUUGAUUUGAUGAGCCAAGCACAUGGAGGCCUUUCUGUUCUGUUCAGGUGUACUUCAUUAGCCAAGCACAUGUGCUUAUGACCACACACUUUUCUCUAAAGGAAUAGAACCUCAUAGCCUCUGGAACAUACAGUCCUGGGCCAUGGAAUUACAAUCAUUCCAGAAUUGUUCCAACAAUAUUUUGCAUAAACAUUCAUUUGGUAUAAUAUAUUUAUAUAGUUACCUUUGAAGGGGUCUGAUUUGAAGGGGUCCUCUGUCUGGAAGGGGUCUGCUGCUGGAAGGGGUUCUGGUGUUGAUUUGUUGCUGCUGAACAUGGCUAUCCUCGAUUUGAAAGAGUCCUCCUGAUUCUGGGGGACAAAAUAUUCAGAUUGCUCAACCUCAAAAUCUUCUCCACUUCCAUUCAAAUCAACUGGAUUGCCCAACGUUGGGACAACAACGCUUUACCAAGCGGAACUGAACGUAGACGCUUCUUCUUGUAAUCUCUAACAUAAUGAACAUUGAAUAGAAAGGUAUCAAGUCUGUCAGGUGUGAGCCACAGGAAGUGAGGUCACACUAAACACAGUGAGAGCUCCACAUGAAUAGCUGGGUAUAUAAUAUGCACUGAACGUAGAAAACAUUAAGAACACCUUCCCAAUAUUGAGUUGCUUAAAAAUCCUUCUUUAACCCGUCUCCUCCCCUGAUUGAAGUGGAAUUAACAAGUGACAUCAAAACAGGAUUGUAGUCCAUGUCAUGGAAAAAGCAAGUUAGAUUAUUAAUGUUUUGUACUCUGAGUGUAUAUUAAAGUAUAGGCAAGCUCUU